AUGCUCAUUGUUGUCUGGACAGACCUGUGGUUGGCUUGUCUCAUUAAAACUCUGUCCUGCUCUCCCCAGCUCCAAUACCAUCAUUUCAACGUGCAAUCAAUUUUAAAAAAUAUAUUUAAUUGUUAUAAAGAAUUGCAAGAUAUUUUACUUUUUUUGCAUUGUUUUCAAGAUGCAAUAUGUAAUUUUAUGCCUAUAGCACACCUCAAUUUGGAUAAACUACAUCUCAAGUUCUCUGUAGCCUCCACGACCCUGUUCUACCUGCUGCCUUCCAGGAUGAGAACAUCCAGGAGAGAACUUGCUGGCUUGUAGGGUAGAUGAAUGUUUAGCUGGAUUUCUACUCACAAAGCACUGAACUGCAUCUACUAUGAACAGAGUCUCCCACAAGGAACUGUCAAAUCACAAUCUGAGAUAUGAUAUCAACUUACAGCAAGACUUGAAGAAAAGAAAACCCCUAUAUAACCAGUCAGCUCAUUCUCUAACCUUUUGCUAUUUUCAUAUUUUUGCAGUAUUUCCUAGUUUCACUUACUUAAUUGAACUCAGGUUUUCUGUAGGCUUGAAUAAUUUCUGAAUUCGAAUUCUUUCCUGACUUUUCAGGGGCUUGUCUAGGCUUGUUUUGCCACGUGUCAAGUCGUGAGCUCCCUUUAGUUGUCCUAGAGCUGAUCUUGUUUGUAUCUGCUGGAAAAAGGCUUGGAGACUGCCCUUGUCCACUGAUCAUUUCUCUAUGCCCAGAAACUGUUGUUUGUUUGUUUGUUUUUUAGGGCUGCACCCACAGCACAUGGAGGUUCCCAGGCUAGGGGUCAAAUUGGAGCUACAGCUCCUGCCUACACCACAGCCACAGCAACACAGGAUCUGAACCAUGUCUUCAGCCUACACCACAGCUCACGGCAACGCCGGAUCCUUAGCCCACUGAGCAAGGCCAAGGAUCAAAUCUGCAUCCCACAGAUGCUAGUCAGAUUCAUUAACCACUCAGCCACGACAGAGAACUCCUAUAAAUUGUGUUUUUUUUUUUUCCCAUUCAGAAGUGAAUGAUUUCUCCAAAAAAAAAAAAAAAAAAAAAUAGAAAAACAGAAAAAAAAAAAAGAGUCACAUUUAAACCAUAGCUCUUUGCUUUUUUGAAAUAAUAGCUGCUGUAUGUAUAAUUUGUAUGGAAAGCUUGUGUUUGCUCACUAAAGGCUUGCGGCUGUCA
ensembl:lncRNA